rnacentral:rRNA from 1 species
UACAGGGGGUGCAAACGUUGCUCGGAAUCAUUGGGCGUAAAGCGCACGUAGGCGGUUCGUUAUGUCGGAUGUGAAAGCCCUUGGCUUAACCGAGGAAGUGCAUCCGAAACUGGCGAGCUAGAGUACUAAAGAGGAUCGCGGAAUUCCCGGUGUAGAGGUGAAAUUCGUAGAUAUCGGGAGGAACACCGGUGGCGAAGGCGGCGACCUGGUCCUUUUACUGACGCUGAGGCGCGAAAGCGUGGGGAGCAAACAGGAUUAGAACCGGU